rnacentral:misc_RNA from 1 species
GAUGUCUUCAUACUAGAAGCAAACUUCUAUGAUGUAUGAGUUGCAUGUAAUGGAACUUUAUACCGAGCACCGAUAGGCUAGCUAUGAGUGGUGAUGCCUUCUUUCGGGAAGGGCGGAGGUUCACGUAAUUCUCAUGAGAUGAGACUGUCCGGCUUGCCGGGUAUGGGUCUCCACACAUCUCCUAGUCUUUGAACCUAUAUUGCCACUAUAGGGAUCUGGCGGGGUUAAAUUCCCAUAUACGCUAGCAUGUUAUUGAAUCGCUUUGGCCGGUGAUUCCACCUCUUUUCGGUGUG